GCCACCUUAGCUCAGUUGGUAGAGCGCCCGCCUUGUAAGCGGACGGUCGCGGGUUCGAGUCCCGCAGGUGGCUCAA
rnacentral:tRNA from 1 species